rnacentral:lncRNA from 1 species
AAGGUGCUUGUGCUGGUUUAGUAUUUCUGUUAAAUGCUUGAUACUGGCUUAUGAUUUAAGUCUGUUAUUUCUGGUACAGUUGUAACUUGUUUGUUAUUUUUUGCUAACAAAUUAUCUAGAACACCUGAACUGCUAUAAGUAGCCUGGGUGCUACUCUUCAUUCUGAAUGCUUAUAAUGUUGAAUAAGAAAUAGAGUGUUACACUCAAAAUCUCUCUCACUUGUUCUUCUUUUUCCUUCUUUUUAUUCUGUUAUCUGUGAUUUCUUUCUAAUUCAUAAACAUCAUGAUUUCUUCAUCUUUUAUGUUUUGCUUUCAGAAUACAUCAAUGUUAUAGUUUCUUUUAUAAUGUACGCAGCUUUUUGACAUGGUAUCAGAGUUUUGGAAUUGAUGAUAAUCAGCUGUGAUUUACGUCUACCGUGUGUUUGAUUAAAUGUCUCUGUAAGCAGAAUCUCUUGUUCUUCUGCUAUUAUUUUUGUUCUUGAGUGAUCUUUGGCUGCGAUGUCUGUCAAUAAUUCUGAACAAAAUGAAUCGAUGAAUAAUGAAACUGUGAAUCCUGCUUUUGAGGUCAGAUCUGAUGUUAGUAAAUCAUUUACUGCCAUUUUGACCAAGAAAAUAUCUCUGUUGAUUGAUGAAAGCAAUUUUCUGUCAUGGAAACAACAUGUUUACCUAACUUUGAAAACACAUAGGCUACAAAGUUAUGUAGAGGGAACUAUAGCUAUUCCUCCUAGGGUGAUUAACAUUGAUUCGGGAGUACAAAUAGAAAAUCCUACUUUUGUUUCGUAUGAGCAACAAGAUUCUACUCUUGCGUCAUGGUUGAUGUCCUCAGUCAGUCAUUCUCUGCAUACACAUCUGGUUGGCUUGCACUCUGCUUUUGAAAUAUGGAAUAAGCUGAAUCAGAUAUUUGCUCUUCACUCACGAACUAAGAGAAUGCAGUAUAGAUGCAUGUUGCAUAAUGUUAAGAAGCAAGAUAAGACAAUGAGAGAAUGUUUAGCAGAAAUUAAGCAUAUCUGUGAUGUGUUGUCUGGAUGUGGUCAAAAUAUUCAUGAGGAGGAACAACAAUUUACUAUUCUUAACGGUUUACCUAUCGAAUAUAAGAACAUUGUUUCAAUUAUUACUUCUAGUCAGCAUCCUUAUGAUCUUCAAGGAGUUGUUUCAGCUUUGUUGGAUGCAGAGGCGAGGAUAAAACUUCAGGGAAAUGUCAUUAGUAUAACUGCUAAUGUAGCUGUGCAGCAGCAACUCCCGGCAAAUAGCAGUGAUAGUACUAAGUCGAAUGAUCAGACUCUUAAUUCUAGCUCUGAAGGUAUGAAUGUUCAGACCAGAUCAUAUUAUCAGGGUAAUGGCAGGUUUAGACCACGUGGUAGAGGAGGAAGGUACUCAAAUAAUUCGAGACCCCAAUGUCAAUUAUGUGGUAAGAUAGGGCAUUUGGUCUCUAAAUGUUUUCAUCGGUUUAAUGCUUCAUUCACUGGUAUUUCUGACUCUACUGCUACUAAUUCUCAGUCAUCAAACUAUGUUAAGCCUUCUGAAGGUGUGAAUGGUUUUUAUUGCUAUCCUGGUCCCACUACUGGUUUUACUAUGUUUAGUCCUCAAGUUGGACAUCCUGGUUUUACUGGGUUGAAUACUCAAGGUAAUCUUGCUGGUUCUGGAGGACUUAAUGUGUCUGCACAUAUACCUUCUACUGGAAUGCCUCCUACUCAUGCUGGUACUUCACAUUUUGCUGCAUAUAACUGCAGUAUGCCGAUAGUCAGCAAUAUCAGUCCUGCAAACCCUUAUGUUAUGUCCUGUAACAAUGGUAAUCCUUUUGUUAGUGGUGCUGGCUCUUUUUGUUCAGGUUCUACUCAAGCUAGUUCAGAAGGUAAUCGAAUCUCUCAGUGUUUGCAAGCUACACCAGCAGUGGUUGUAGAUCCGGCUUGGUACCCAGAUACUGGUGCAACUGGGCAUCUCACACAUGAUUCCACAUGCUUACAGCACUCUAAUCCUGCUACAAGUAUAGUUCAAGUCGGUAAUGGUUCUUGUGCAACUUUUUCCACUGAUAAAAAAGAACUGCACUUAAACAAAUUGUUUUAUGCUCCUGAUAUUACCAAAAAUUUAAUUUCAGUAUCCCAAUUCACCAAAGACAAUAAUGUAUCAUUUGAAUUUUUUCCCAAAUAUUGUGUUGUUAAAGAUCUCACUACGCAGGCUGUUCUGGCACAAGGAGUUGAAGUUGAUGGUCUCUACAAAUUGGAUGUGAAUCAGAAAUUUAGUGCUCUUUCGUAUCUCUCGUCUGAUCUUUCAUGCUUUACCACUAGUGUUAGUUCAAAUAAUAAUGAUUGUGUGAAAUGUAAAAGUUUAACUUCUCAUGAGUUGUGGCAUCGUAGGUUAGGACACACUUCGACACACAAUCUUGCACAUCUAGCUUCCACAUCUGCUAUUCCUGUUAAAGUUCUCAAGAAUUUUCCUCUAUGUGUUGCUUGUCAAUUUGGAAAAAGUCAUAAACUACCAUUUACAUCAUCAACCACUGAGUAUACUUCUCCUUUACAACUUAUUCAUUGUGAUGUUUGGGGACCAGCUCCAUGUGUGUCUUCUGGGUAUAAAUACUAUAUUUCAUUCAUCGAUGCAUAUUCAAGACAUGUUUGGAUUUUUCUUUUGAAACAGAAGUCUGAGGCUCUGUCUGCAUUUCUUGUGUUCAAAAAGCAAGUUGAAACAAUGUUUGAUAAAAAGAUUAAGGCGUUGCAAACUGAUAGUGGUGGAGAGUUUAGAUCAUUUGUACAGUACUUGCAAUCAUUUGGCAUACAACAUAGAUUAACCUGUCCUCAUACUUCUGAACAGAAUGGUUUAAUUGAACGAAGACAUAGACAAAUUGUAGAAAUAGGUCUUACUUUACUUGCACAAAGUUCCAUGCCUUUAAAAUACUGGUCUGAUGCUUUUACUUACGCUAUUAAUAUAAUAAACAUCUUACCUUCCAAGGCUAUAAAUAAUAAAACUCCUUUUGAAAAAUUGUAUCAAGUUAAGCCUGAUUACUCUCUUAUUCGAGUGUUUGGAUGUCAUUGUUUUCCCUUGUUGACACAUUAUAAUCACAAUAAACUGCAGUUUCGGUCUAUAUCUUGCAUUUUUUUGGGCACGGUUGCUAACCAUAAGGGUUAUAAGUGUCUUGCACCUAAUGGUCGAGUGUAUAUAUCUCGACAUGUUAAGUUUCAGAAAGAUAUUUUUCCUUUUUCACUAAAGGCUGACAUGCACAUUUCUUCACCUUCUUCACACACUCCAUUUACUACAGUUCAUUUACCUAUUGUUUCGCCACCUGAUCUAACUACUAAUGCUAAUUUUUGUUCUUCAUUGCAGCAGUCUAAAUCGCCAUCACUAAUAUCUACUCCUCCUCCAUCUCAUUCUCCAAAUUCUGGUUUUACUCCGUUCAACUCUCAAAAUAAUGAUUCUAACAUAAACUGCACUUCCUCAUCUCAGGAUCACUCACCUAAUUUUUCAUACGAUGGGCACCAAUCUCAAAGUUUGCCAAAUUCUGCAUCUGCACCUACGUUUGAAAUGCAGUCUCAAGAUAUACCAAACCCGUCUCAACUUAAUAGUCACCCCAUGAUCACAAGGGGCAAGUUAGGUAUUGUAAAAUCAAAAAUUAUCACUUAUCAAGUUACUAAUAUACCUUUUUCUCCUGCAGAUAUUCAUGAAGCUAUGCAGUUUCCUCAAUGGUAACAAGCCGUUCAUGAUGAACUUGAUGCUUUGGUGAGAAAUCAAACUUGGGACUUAGUUCCCUUACCAUCAAAUCGACAUGCUGUGGGAUGCAAGUGGUUGUUCAAGGUAAAGAAACGAGCUGAUGGUACUGUGGAUUGCUUCAAAGCUCGGUUGGUUGCCAAGGGUUAUGCUCAGAAAAUAGGCUUCGACUUCCAUGACACGUUCAGUCCAGUCGCAAAAGCAAAUACUGUUCGCACUCUCCUUUCCUUGGCAGUUACUCAUGGUUGGGAAUUGAGGCAAGUAGAUGUCAACAAUGCAUUCCUCAAUGGAGAUCUUGUUGAGGAAGUGUAUAUGCAACAACCCCUCGGUUUUGAGCAGCGAAAUAUCGAAGGUCAACCUCUUAUUUGCAAACUACGAAAGGCCCUUUAUGGUCUCAAACAAGCGCCGAGAGCUUGGUUUCAAAAGCUCAAAGAUUUUUUGUGUUCCAAUCUGAAUUUUCAAGCUUCAUGUGCCGACCCUUCUUUAUUCACACGUCAAAAUGAAGGAACUAGGGUAUGGUGUCUGGUAUAUGUUGAUGACAUUAUUCUCACUGGUAGCAAUUUAAAGGACCUAAGUGAUGUUAUUCAUCAAUUAAACAAAGCGUUUUCUCUUAAGGAUUUGGGACCUUUGCAUUAUUUUCUUGGAGUAAAAGUGCAUAGACGUAAUGGAACUCUACAUCUAUCGCAGAAAAAAUAUAUUCGUGAGUUAAUCAAUCGUGCUGAGAUGACUUCUGCUGGCUCAGUACCCACUCCAAUGGUCGUGUCUCCUACUCUCACUUCAACUAAUGGUCAAUUGUUACCUACGUCCAAGGCUGUUUUAUAUAGAAGCAUUGUGGGUGGACUUCAAUAUGCAUGUCUUACCCGUCCCGGUAUAGCUUUUGCUGUAAACAAACUCAGUCAGUUCAUGCAUUCUCCAACUGACAAGCACUGGGUGUCAGUAAAACGAGUACUACGAUAUCUUCAAGGAACUAUCGAGUUUGGCCUUUAUUACACUCCAGCGGAUCAGGUUGAUAUUACAGCUUUUUCAGAUUCAGAUUGGGGCAGCUCUCUUGAAGAUAGGAGGUCUACUUCUGGUUUCUGUAUCUACAUAGGUGGCAACCUCAUUGGUUGGUCAUCCAAGAAGCAACAUGUAGUGGCACGCUCCACAUCUGAGGCAGAAUUUCGAAGUGUCGCCAAUACUGUGGCUGACAUCGCUUGGUUCAUCCAUCUUCUGACUGAUCUUGGAGAGAAGUGUUAUGGAAUUCCAACUAUAUGGUGCGAUAAUUCUGGUGCUGUCCAGAUAUCAGCAAAUCCUGUUCUUCAUUCCAAGAUGAAACAUGUUGAACUUGAUCUUCAUUCUGUUCUUCAUUCCAAGAUGAAACAUGUUGAACUUGAUCUUCAUUUUGUCCGGGAAAAAGUAGUAAAGGGUGAUCUUCAAAUCAAUCAUAUUGCUGCACACAAUCAAGUUGCGGAUCUAUUCACUAAACCUUUAAGUGAAUCUCAAUUUGUUGCGCUGCGAUCAAAGCUUGGAUUAUGUCAACUCUGCUCAGUAUCCACGGCUUUUGUUUUCUCGGAAGAGGAGAAAACAGGGGGAAUAUCAGGCAGUAAGAAUGAUAUGUAGGUGUUCGAUAAUAUGUUUGAGAUAAGCACAAUAUAGCUUUCUCGCAAGGUGCUUGUGCUGGUUUAGUAUUUCUGUUAAAUGCUUGAUACUGGCUUAUGAUUUUAGUCCGUUAUUUUUGGUACAGCUGUAACUUGUUUGUUAAUUUUUGCUAACAAAUUAUCUAGAACACCUGAAUUGCUAUAAGUAGCCUAGGUGCUACUCUUCAUUCUGAAUGCUUAUAAUGUUGAAUAAGAAAUAGAGUGUUACACUCAAAAUCUCUCUCACUUGUUCUUCUUUUUCCUUCUUUUUAUUCUGUUAUCUGUGAUUUCUUUCUAAUUCAUAAACAUCAUGAUUUCUUCAUCUUUUAUGUUUUGCUUUCAGAAUACAUCAAUGUUAUAGUUUCUUUUAUAAUUUACGCAGCUUUUCGACAGGAAGAUAUAACAGUACCAAUGCAAAACCCUAGAGUUAGUAAAUGGGAGCCACCAGAAGGUGGUAGUGUUAAAGCAAACUUUGAUGCCUCAUUUCAUCAACAGUCAAAUAAAUCAGUCUCGGUGAUUUUAAUUAGAAACAGGGAGGGCCUAGUUAUGUUAGCGUGUACUUACCUGAAUGAGCAUGUGUUAAAAUCAACCAUGGCAAAAGCGCAAGCAUGUUUGAAACCUGUAAUUUUCACGAAUGAACUAGGGUUUAGGAGGAUUUUGGUAGUAGGGGACACCUUAAAUGUUUUCAAGAGAGUAAGGACGACAGAGGAGGAUAAAUCGAACAUCAGUAAUCUAGUCAAUGAAGUAAAAGAAAUGAUUUGUAGGUUUGAAAAAAUAGAAUUUCGACACGUACCUUAGAAAGCUAAUGAAGCAGUGCACAGUUUGACAGAGGAGGGUAGGCGUUAUGAAACCCCCAAAUAUUGGAUAGAAGAGGCUCCAAAGAGAGUGGAAGAACCAGUAAAUCAAGAUUGACAUGGACUACAAGGAGAGGGAUGAAGAAUGAGGCUACUGAGACCGAAGGAACUAUGACUAUUUGGACUUCGAUGAACUCAGAUUUUCAUGGAGGGAUCGAGCCGUAAACGGAAGCAUAGCUAAGACCAACGGGAGGAAAAAAGGACCGCUUCUGGUGUUUUACUGAUGUAAUUAUCGAACCAGCGAAAUGGAAAGGAAGAUGGUUCAUUUCCCUUCAUUUCUUUACUGUUUUUGGUUUUGUUUCCCUUUGGAAAUCUAUUUUGGUUUUUAGAUGGGGGUUAUCCGCAAUUUUUAAAUUCUGUUACUUUCAAGGCAUUGCCCGUUCGACCAAUAAGAUUGACGCAGAAGAAAAGUUGAUCAGUGGGCAUGGGAAUUGUAACCGAU